GUUAUAAGACGAGUCGGGAAAGUUUUUCGCUAAGGGAUCAGUCUAUGUUCCAUCAGUUAGUUGGUGAGGUAAUGGCUCACCAAGACUAUGACGGAUAUCUGGUUUGAGAGGAUGAUCAGACACACUGGAGCUGAGACACGGUCCAGACUCCUACGGGAGGCAGCAGUGAGGAAUAUUGCACAAUGGAGGAAACUCUGAUGCAGCAACGCCGCGUGGAGGAUGACGCAUUUCGGUGUGUAAACUCCUUUUAUUAGGGAAGAUAAUGACGGUACCUAAUGAAUAAGCACCGGCUAACUCCGUGCCAGCAGCCGCGGUAAUACGGAGGGUGCAAGCGUUACUCGGAAUCACUGGGCGUAAAGGGUGCGUAGGCUGGCUUCUAAGUCAGAUGUGAAAUCCAAUGGCUCAACCAUUGAACUGCAUUUGAAACUGGGAGCCUAGAGUUCAGAAGGGGCAGAUGGAAUUAGUGGUGUAGGGGUAAAAUCCGUAGAUAUCACUAGGAAUAUCAAAAGCGA
rnacentral:rRNA from 1 species